rnacentral:rRNA from 1 species
CGAAAUGCGAUAAGUAAUGCGAAUUGCAGAAUUCAGUGAAUCAUCGAAUCUUUGAACGCAUAUUGCG